CCUACGGGCGGCUGCAGUGGGGAAUAUUGGACAAUGGGGGCAACCCUGAUCCAGCCAUGCCGCGUGUGUGAAGAAGGCCCUCGGGUUGUAAAGUACUUUCAGUGAGGAAGAACGCCUGGUGGUUAAUACCCAUCAGGAAAGACAUCACUCACAGAAGAAGCACCGGCUAACUCCGUGCCAGCAGCCGCGGUAAUACGGAGGGUGCGAGCGUUAAUCGGAAUUACUGGGCGUAAAGCGCGCGUAGGUGGCUUGAUAAGCCGGUUGUGAAAGCCCCGGGCUCAACCUGGGAACGGCAUCCGGAACUGUCAAGCUAGAGUGCAGGAGAGGAAGGUAGAAUUCCCGGUGUAGCGGUGAAAUGCGUAGAGAUCGGGAGGAAUACCAGUGGCGAAGGCGGCCUUCUGGACUGACACUGACACUGAGGUGCGAAAGCGUGGGUAGCAAACAGGAUUAGAUACCCUGGUAGUC
rnacentral:rRNA from 1 species